CAGAAGGCCCUUCUCAGGGCCACUUACAUUUUAUCUGGAGCAGCUG
rfam:Ictidomys tridecemlineatus contig091240, whole genome shotgun sequence.